rnacentral:SRP_RNA from 1 species
GCCAGGAAUGGUGGUGCAUGCCUGUAAUUCCAGUUACUUGGGAGGCUGAGGUAGGAGGAUCACUUGAGCCUGGGAGGUCGAGGCUGCAGUGAGCUCUGAUUGCGCCACUGCACUCUAGCCUGGGCAACAGAAUGAGACCCUAUUUCAA